rnacentral:rRNA from 1 species
CCUACGGGUGGCAGCAGUGAGGAAUAUUGGUCAAUGGACGAGAGUCUGAACCAGCCAAGUAGCGUGAAGGAUGACUGCCCUAUGGGUUGUAAACUUCUUUUAUAUGGGAAUAAAAUGUUCCACGUGUGGGAUUUUGUAUGUACCAUAUGAAUAAGGAUCGGCUAACUCCGUGCCAGCAGCCGCGGUAAUACGGAGGAUCCGAGCGUUAUCCGGAUUUAUUGGGUUUAAAGGGAGCGUAGGUGGAUUGUUAAGUCAGUUGUGAAAGUUUGCGGCUCAACCGUAAAAUUGCAGUUGAAACUGGCAGUCUUGAGUACAGGAGAGGUGGGCGGAAUUCGUGGUGUAGCGGUGAAAUGCGUAGAUAUCACGAAGAACUCCGAUUGCGAAGGCAGUUCACUGGACUGCAACUGACACUGAGGCUCGAAAGUGUGGGUAUCAAACAGGAUUAGAUACCCCUGUAGUC